rnacentral:rRNA from 1 species
UGGGGAAUUUUGGACAAUGGGCGAAAGCCUGAUCCAGCAAUGCCGCGUGUGUGAAGAAGGCCUUCGGGUUGUAAAGCACUUUUGUCCGGAAAGAAAUCCUCUGGGUUAAUACCUCGGGGGGAUGACGGUACCGGAAGAAUAAGCACCGGCUAACUACGUGCCAGCAGCCGCGGUAAUACGUAGGGUGCAAGCGUUAAUCGGAAUUACUGGGCGUAAAGCGUGCGCAGGCGGUUUUUGUAAGACGGAUGUGAAAUCCCCGGGCUUAACCUGGGAACUGCAUUCGUGACUGCAAGGCUAGAGUAUGGCAGAGGGGGGUAGAAUUCCACGUGUGAGCAGUGAAAUGCGUAGAGAUGUGGAGGAAUACCGAUGGCGAAGGCAGCCCCCUGGGCCAAUACUGACGCUCAUGCACGAAAGCGU